UACGGAGGAUCCGAGCGUUAUCCGGAUUUAUUGGGUUUAAAGGGUGCGUAGGCGGCCUGGUAAGUCAGGGGUGAAAGACGGUAGCUUAACUAUCGCAGUGCCCUUGAUACUGCUGGGCUUGAAUGUAGUUGAGGUAGGCGGAAUGUGACAGUAGCGGUGAAAAUGCAUAGAUAUGUCACAGAACACCAAUUGCGAAGGCGCUUACUAAAGUAGUGAUUGACGCUGAGGCACGAAAGCGUGGGGAUCAAACAGG
rnacentral:rRNA from 1 species